AUGAAAGUGCUGCACUCAAUAUGUCAGCAAAUUUGGGAAACUCAGCAGUGGCCACAGGACUGGAAAAGCUCAGUUUUCAUUCCAAUCACAAAGAAAGGCAAUGCCAAAGAAUGCUCAAACUACUGCACAAUUGCACUUAUCUCACAUGCUAGUAAAGUAAUGCUCAAAAUUCUCCAAGCCAGGCUUCAGCAAUCUGUGAACCACAAACUUCCAGAUAUUCAAGCUGGUUCUAGAAAAGGCAGAGGAACCAGAGAUCAAAUUGCCAACAUCCGCUGGAUCAUGGAAAAAGCAAAAGAGUUCCCGAAAAACAUCUAUUUCUGCUUUAUUGACUAUGCCAAAGCCUUUGACUGUGUGGAUCACAAUAAACUGUGGAAAAUUCUGAGAGAGAUGGAAAUACCAGACCGCCUGACCUGCUUCUUGAGAAAUCUGUAUUCAGGUCAGGAAGCAACAGUUAGAACUGGACAUGGAACAACUGACUGGUUCCAAAUAGGAAAAGGAGUACGUCAAGGCUGUAUAUUAUCACCCUGCUUAUUUAACUUCUAUGCAGAGUACAUCAUGAGAAACGCUGGACUGGAAGAAGCACAAGCUGGAAUCAAGAUUGCUGGCAGAAAUAUCAAUAACCUCAGAUAUGCAGAUGACACCACCCUUAUGGCAGAAAGUGAAGAGGAACUAAGAAGCCUCUUGAUGAAAGUGAAAGUGGAGAGUGAGAAAGUUGGCUUAAAGCUCAACAUUCAGAAAACAAAGAUCAUGGCAUCCGGUCCCAUCACUUCAUGGGAAAUAGAUGGGGAAACAGUGUCAGACUCUAUUUUGGGGGGCUCCAAAAUCACUGCAGAUGGUGACUGCAGUCAUGAAAUUAAAAGACGCUUACUCCUUGGAAGAAAAGUUAUGACCAACCUAGAUAGCAUACUGAAAAGCAGAGACAUUAUUUUUGCCAACAAGGCUAUGGUUUUUCCAGUGGUCAAUUAUGGAUUUGAGGGUUGGACUGUGGAGAAAGCUGAGUGCCGAAAAAUUGAUGCUUUUGAACUGUGGUGUUGGAGAAGACUCUUGAAAGUCCCUUGGACUGCAAGGAGAUCCAACCAGUCCAUUCUGAAGAUCAGCCCUGGGAUUUCUUUGGAAGGAAUGAUGCUGAAGCUGAGGCUCCAGUAG
rnacentral:lncRNA from 1 species